CAAGGUUUCCGUAGGUGAACCUGCGGAAGGAUCAUUACUGAAAGAAACAAGGGGUUUUGAGACUGCGCCGUGUGGCGUGUGCUCGACUCUUACUCUUUUCAUCCAUUCACACCUGUGCACUAAGGGACAUUGAGUUGUCCCCUUUUUAUUAUUAUAAAUACCGAGUUUUAUAUGUAUGUUAUUUUGUGAUACUCUACGGAGUAAAAUAAAUACAACUUUCAACAACGGAUCUCUUGGCUUUCGCAUCGAUGAAGAACGCAGCGAACGUGCGAAACGUAAUGUGAAUUGCAGAAUUCAGUGAAUCAUCGAAUCUUUGAACGCAUCUUGCGCUCCUUGGUAUUCCGAGGAGCAUGCCUGUUUGAGUGUCGUGAAUAUCUCUCAAUCUCAAAUGUUUUUCGUUUGAAAUUGGACUUGGGCGUUGUCGUGUUUUGAUAGAUGACUCGUCCUAAAUACAUUAGCGAUCUGCCCCUGAUCACACACAAUGUGAUAAGUUUUUAAGCAUUGUUAUGGUUGGGUUUAAUGAUGAUGGCUUCUAACCGUCGUUAAGACAAAUAUCACACAUGUCAUUUGACCUCAAAUCAGGUAGGACUACCCGCUGAACUUAAGCA
rnacentral:rRNA from 1 species